rnacentral:rRNA from 1 species
GUCUACGGCCAUACCACCCUGGACGCGCCCGAUCUCGUCUGAUCUCGGAAGCUAAGCAGGCUCAGGCCUGGUUAGUACUUGGAUGGGAGAAACACAGGGUGCCCGUACCCC